CGGACGGGUGAGUAACACGUGGAUAACCUACCUAUAAGACUGGGAUAACUUCGGGAAACCGUAGCUAAUACCGGAUAAUAUAUUGAACCGCAUGGUUCAAUAGUGAAAGACGGUUUUGCUGUCACUUAUAGAUGGAUCCGCGCCGCAUUAGCUAGUUGGUAAGGUAACGGCUUACCAAGGCAACGAUGCGUAGCCGACCUGAGAGGGUGAUCGGCCACACUGGAACUGAUACACGGUCCAG
rnacentral:rRNA from 1 species